GACGAACGCUGGCGGCGUGCUUAACACAUGCAAGUCGAACGAUGAAGAAGAGAAACGCGAACUUCGGUUCAAAUUUCACUUCGGAUUAGUGGCAGACGGGUGAGUAACGCGUGAGCAACCUACCUCUUACAAAGGGAUAGCCUCGGGAAACCGUGAUUAAUACCAUAUGACACAUUCAUAAGGCAUCUUAAGAAUGUUAAAGCUACGGCGGUAAGAGAUGGGCUCGCGUCCCAUUAGCUAGUUGGUGAGGUAACGGCCCACCAAGGCGACGAUGGGUAACCGGGCUGAGAGGGUGAACGGUCACAUUGGAACUGGGACACGGUCCAAACUCCUACGGGAGGCAGCAGUGGGGAAUAUUGCACAAUGGAGGGAACUCUGAUGCAGCGACGCCGCGUGAGCGAUGAAGGAAUUCGUUUCGUAAAGCUCUGUUCCAUGGGAAGAAAAGGACUGUACCAUAGGAGAAAGCCCCGGCUAAAUACGUG
rnacentral:rRNA from 1 species